rnacentral:rRNA from 1 species
AGAGUUUGAUCCUGGCUCAGAACGAACGCUGGCGGCGUGCCUAACACAUGCAAGUCGAACGGGAUGAGGGGCUUGCUCCUCAUUUAGUGGCGCACGGGUGAGUAACGCGUAGAUAAUCUGCCUGAUGAUCUGGGAUAACACUUCGAAAGGGGUGCUAAUACCGGAUAAGCCCACGGGGUCUUUGGAUUCUGCGGGAAAAGGGGGGGACCUUCGGGCCUUCUGUCAUCAGAUGAGUCUGCGUACCAUUAGCUAGUUGGUAGGGUAAUGGCCUACCAAGGCUACGAUGGUUAGCUGGUUUGAGAGAAUGAUCAGCCACACUGGAACUGAGACACGGUCCAGACUCCUACGGGAGGCAGCAGUGGGGAAUUUUGCGCAAUGGGCGAAAGCCUGACGCAGCAACGCCGCGUGAGUGAUGAAGGCUUUCGGGUCGUAAAGCUCUGUCGAGGGGAAAGAAGUGUAUUGUGGCUAAUAUCCACGAUACUUGACGGUACCCCUAAAGGAAGCACCGGCUAACUCCGUGCCAGCAGCCGCGGUAAUACGGGGGGUGCAAGCGUUGUUCGGAAUUAUUGGGCGUAAAGAGCGUGUAGGCGGUUUGUUAAGUCUGUUGUGAAAGCCCUGGGCUCAACCCAGGAAGUGCACUGGAUACUGGCAGACUUGAAUACG